GAAUCGCCCCGUCAAGGUUUUAUGGUUCCAUCACCCGUUGCAUCAAAUGGGGGGGAAAAAGAAUUUCAAGAAAAAUGAAGAUGCACACGCUGCCAGGAACGGGAUCCGGAUCGUCGGCCAUCGACUAUUUUGCCAGAACAGUUUAAGCUUUGUGUGAGCAUCUUUUUGAAAUUGACAAAUUCAUCGCAUUUUUUUACACGGCUCAUGACAAGUUUACAACAGUACCGAUUAACCAUCGAUACACGCGUGUUUCAUGUCUGGUGAUGAUCCGCUGAAAUUUUUAAAACCUUUUCUUUUUAUAUUAGUAGAAGGGGACGAGUGGGUGUAUGGGAUAAGGCGUCAUUUAGGAGUAGGUGCAGUGGUGCACCUGGAGACCAGGGUUCGAACCCCCUGGUGAGCUUUGUUGGUUGGUCAUACACCCGCUCUGGCGCCACUGUGGCGUCACAUGGACCCCGUGACUUGCUGCUGGAGAGGGAACUCGGGAGGGUUGGCUGGGGGACGGUUUUCGUCGAUAUUGGGAUCGGUCCAAUAUUCCUCAGCGCAAAAGGCAAAUGAAAUGUGGAAUAAUGGGAAAUUGGCGCUGUAUAUCUGGCAGAGCAAAGGGCCCUUAUUUGCGCAGUCAUUGGGUUAAUUGCCUUGUUUCCGUCGUGUUGAAUUGGGAAUGUGUUGCAUACAAGUGGGUGCUGGCUCUGUACGACUAGUCGAAUAAUCUCAGUGAUCAUAUGCGCGUUGCUUCCGCACGAAUCCAACAAUGUUGUCCUUGUCAUACACCGCCCGGUGUAUCAUGUGGGCAACAACUUGUGAAAUGCGUGUAUGUGAGGGAUUAUUUGUGCUAGUUUCAGAUCCGUAUAUCCAGCCUAGAGCCGGGCAGUUGCGUCCCCGGCCCCAUCCACUAUCAUUGUUAAAAUUGUUAUGUCAAUUAUAGAAUAUUUGGUAUCAACAAGUAGUACACACACACAGCGGCGGAUGUGCUCCUUCUCCUUGCUAUUUAGUGGUCAUAUUUAAACUUUUUCUGUUCCUUUUCUGAUUUUAAAAUAAUUUUAUUUCAUUUUUAAUUUAUAUCAAUUUCAAUUUUAUUUUUCCGGGCUCUAAAUAUAGCUCUAAAUAUGAGCUCUAAAUAUACCUGAUUCCCACAAUCUCCAUUCCUAACGAAUUGUCUAAUUUGACUAGUAACAACAUUGUAUCGAUAUUUAGUUCUCCAUCGAUUUGAUAGUCGAUUAAUAAUUGGUAAACAUUGAAAUUUCGUCUGCUCUUUCAACAAGCGAAUACUAAGAAGGAGAAAAUCUACAACGUCAUCAAGUGUCUUUGUCAUUUCACCCGAUUUGUGAGCGAGAUGAAACAUCUGUUAGACUGUGACAGCUAAAUGGUAAUAUUCUAGUUUGCGAUAAUAUGUGCAAUGCACCAGGAUCUAUAGCUGUUCGAGUGGGUGUCAGAAACUCAGAAUGGACCUUAAUUUUGAGAUCAUUGGCGUUUAUAAAGGGAAAUGAACCACUUGUUAAAACAUCCAUCACAUUCAUUCUAUCUGAAUUGCUUUUCCCAUUUUAUAUCUAAUCCAUAGAACAGGAGGAGAAACAAAGCACCAGAAGACAAUUUACUCAAUUAAGUUCCUCUCAAUGAGUUUGACUCCCCUGGAAGUCAGAUCAAUCCUGCCAAGCAAAAUGGAGCCCGAGGAGGUUGAUUCGACUCCACACAAUUCUGGUAACUGAAUAGGGAAGAUAAAAGUUGCCUCUGCAGAGGCAAUAGUAGAAAUCAAAUUCACCGAACGUGGACAUCAUCAAAUUGGUGUCAGGUGAAUGGAUAGUAAUUGGUAGCCUCAAGCCCUCUCAACAUUUUAAUUUCGCAAUGUUAUUGCCCGUUUCGUCUUCUAGAAGAUCAAGACAAUCUCGAUACAGACACUGAUGUGAUGGCCGAGUCUACCACAACGGCAUUGAACCGUUGGCAUCAGUCGAGUCCCAUUCGUUCACCCUGGGACGUAGAGCAGCGAUUGAGACUAUUGUGGCGCGAGUAUUUCUCUCUGGUGGUUAGUGUGCAGCUAAACAAAAUGGGUGACGGCGGCGGAAACCGCUCUCAACAGCCAGUAGCGCCGGAUUGCGGAGGCGAUAACAACCAUCGAGAACUCUUUAUCGUCUCUGGGAUCUCGACCAUUGUGGAAACUGGAAUGUGUCACCAGUUUAUCUUCCCCCUAACAUCAUGGAAGAUGGAUUAUUCGAAAAUGUCCAUUAGAAAAAAACUAAGAAACCGUUGGGAGGAAAUACCGAUCCGGCGAACAGUGCUCCUCUUUCCCGUUGCCAGGCAACAAUUUCUUCCACGCUGCUCGUCUACUGAAAAGGAGAAUGCGUUGAAUAGUAAAUUGAUGUGCGGAUGAAGACGAUUUCGUGCUAGUCGGAGAUGCAAUAGAUUUAUCUAACCGAAUGGAGUGGAUUUGGAGGAAGAUCUGUAUUUACCUGUUUUUAGUACUGUUGCAAUGUGUGACAGAUGGUUUUUCUUGACUAAAUUUUUUCUUGAAUUCAAGUUUGUACCAGUUAAAUUUAAUGGUGUAGACUGUUUUGAUUUGUGUUAACUGGUGUAAGAUAUAUUUUUGAAACCAAGUACUGGGUGAAACUGGUUUCAAUAUGGUUAAUAAGAACAUCAAUCAUUUUAUAAAUCAAGACUUCUAAACCUGUGGACCAUCUCAACAAUUACGCUAAAUAUAAGUAACUGAAAUUUCAGCUAAGUGUGAAAUAUUUAUUGUAAUACCAAUUGGAAAUACAAGUACAACGUUGAAUAACAAGAUAAA